GUGUUUUUUAUAAGGGAUUAGUCGCAAAGCAAGGGCGGUGGGAAAGAGUGAGCACAAAAGGAGAAACCCGCAAUUGUGCAUGAUCUACAAUAAAUUAGAAUUGUAUCAGUGCUUCAAAGGAGUGCUGGAUUUUCAUUGCCAUUGUCCACCACUCUGGCUUCAUCCCACCGUUAUAUUAGAAAACGUGAGACUAUCAAUAAAUUGUAAGACAUAUUUAUUUCAGAACUUUGGAAAAGAAAGCCAAGAAAUUUCUUCGGACUGGCAAAAAAAGAAAUAUAUGCAGGUACGCGUGCUCUGUAUUAUCUACAAUAAUAUAUCUGUGACAAGAACACAAACGUUCAAGUUUGAAUGAAGAAAAACAAUAAUUCAAAAGCGAAGGUAUAAUUUCUAGGUAAAACUAUUACAACUAAGAUCCAGGCCCGGAGCUACGGGGGGGGGUGUGUGUGUGUGUGUGUGGGGGGGGGUGACACCCCCCCAGUAAUUGUAUUCAGUCGGCAGGAGUGCUAUUCAGUCGGUAGGACUGCUAUUCAGUCGGUAGAACUGCUAUUUGGGUUAAAUAUUUUUGGCGCAAAGGGCAAGAACGUGGUGGGAAUUUUAGGAAAAUUUUGAGGAAAAAUGUAAAAAUUUUGGAAAAAUGUAAAAAAAUGUUGAAAAUUUGUUAUGUGCGGAAAAUUUUUGAAUGUUCCGGAAAAUUUUUGUACGUCCGGAAAAAUUUUUGGACCCAUAAAAUGGUACACUGACCGAAAUUUUUUUGGCGACGGGGGGGGGGUCGACAAAAAAUUUUUGAUCCGGAAAAAUUUUUUUUCAACCAGUCGGUUGAAUUGACCUUAUUACACCCCCCUGAAGAAUUUCCUGAGGACGGCCCUGCUAAGAUCCCGUUCAUGCACACGGACCCGGGGUGAAGUGUUUCAAAACUUUAACACAUAGGCAUAGGUCAACUGAAGUUUUUAAGUCUCAUCUGUGGAAUCACAAUAUUAAGCUUUCUAUUUUGAUUAAACAGUAUAGGAAAACAAAGUAUCUCGCUUUCAAAGUAAACAUGCCCUGUUUCCUCCUUGUUACAAAAUUGCCACCAACCAUCUACCGUAUUUUUCGAGGUUUGCCUUCCAUGGGCAUAGGAACGACCUGGGGGCACAGGGCGCCACCCAAAUUUAAUAGAAGAGACUUCGUGUCGCCCAAAGUUGAAGUUGCUUCCUACGCCUGGCUGUUCGAUCAAGCCCCCGUUUGGCGUGCUCCCGCCAGUACCCUCCCAGCAAUAUCCCGCUUUCCCUGCUCAUAUCAAUGCAUUUAGGGCCUGUUCGUAUAGAAAAAGCGAGGACACACCUAUAUAUAUAUAUAGGCAAGUUUGAAAGCGAGAUCUCGCCUUGUUAACAAAUAAUAGAAACGUCACAUUGCGUUCAUAUGAGACAAGUUUUCCUGUGUACCGAGAUCUCGUUUGUUGACAGUCGAGAUCUCAGGUGACCGGGAUGUGUUUUCCAUAUGAAUACAACAUUAGUGGGCAAAAGAAAUAAAGUAGCAGGGAACUAUUUGGCAAAAAAAAAUUGCCAGGCAAGCUGGCGCCAUUUUGAGCAAUUAUACAACGAUUUUAAGAAUUGGCCGUUUUUAUGCUAUAGAGACGCAUAAUGCGUAUAUAUAUAGUCGCAUUACUCGUCUAGUGUAAGUACGGGACAAAUAAUCGGACGAAUUUGCAAUCCCGGUUAUGCGUCUUCAGUAUAAAGACGGGCACAAGACGCAUUAGGAACUAUCAUCGGUUGUGCGUCUCCCAAGACGAAUAAUCGAAAAUAGUUCGUCUAGACGCAUAACGCGUCUUGUACCCGUCUUUAGGGAGUUUACGAUCUACGACGAGGCCGGCUCGACGACGCGCUUUCAAAACAAAGAAAUUUGGUGUUUCUACAAACAAUAGUAUUAUACAGUUUGUUUUAUCCCUAUGCAAACCUACAAAGAACUUACAAAGAAAUUUGUCAUGCAAGACAAAAACUGUCAAUAAUUCGUCAACCGCGUUGUCAUUCUCAAC